rnacentral:rRNA from 1 species
ACGGGUGAGGAAUACAUCGGAAUCUACCUUGUCGUGGGGGAUAACGCAGGGAAACUUACGCUAAUACCGCAUACGAACUACGGUUGAAAGCGGCGGACCGCAAGGCGUCGCGCGAUUGGAUGAGCCGAUGUCCGAUUAGCUAGUUGGCGGGGUAAAGGCCCACCAAGGCGACGAUCGGUAGCUGGUCUGAGAGGAUGAUCAGCCACACUGGAACUGAGACACGGUCCAGACUCCUACGGGAGGCAGCAGUGGGGAAUAUUGGACAAUGGGCGCAAGCCUGAUCCAGCCAUGCCGCGUGUGUGAAGAAGGCCUUCGGGUUGUAAAGCACUUUUGUUGGGGAAGAAAAGCACUGGGUUAAUACCCUGGUGUUCUGACGGUACCCAAAGAAUAAGCACCGGCUAACUUCGUGCCAGCAGCCGCGGUAAUACGAAGGGUGCAAGCGUUACUCGGAAUUACUGGGCGUAAAGCGUGCGUAGGUGGUGAGUUAAGUCUGUCGUGAAAGCCCCGGGCUCAACCUGGGAAUGGCGAUGGAUACUGGCUCGCUAGAGUGCGGUAGAGGAGAGUGGAAUUCCCGGUGUAGC